rnacentral:rRNA from 1 species
CAAUAGCGUACACUAACGUUGUUGCAGUUAAAAAGCUCGUAGUUGAACUUUGGGUAGGAGCGACCGGGCCUCGGGAUGAAUGUCCCUUGUUUGCCUGUGUUGUCUCUGUCCCUCUUGCCUUUUCUUCGGGGAAGGUUCUUUCACUGUAAAAAAAUUAGGGUGUUUCAAGCAAAAGUUGUUUUGGAAUAGAUGAGUAUGGGAUGAUGAGAUAGGCUCUCGGUGCUAUUUUGUUGGUUUGCACGCCGCGAGAAUGAUGAACAGGGACAGUUGGGGGUAUUCGUAUUUACAUGUCAGAGGUGAAAUUCUUGGAUUUUGGAAAGAUGAACUACUGCGAAGGCAUUUACCAAGGAUGUUUUCAUUAA